AUUCUCGCCUAGCCGCCGCCCAGCCCUGCGCGCCUUGCCUGGCGGCCCCCGCCCGGCCGCUCCGGGCCCCUGGCCCCGCGGAGCGAUGCUGCUGCUGGCUGCCGCCUUCCUCGUGGCCUUCGUGCUGCUGCUGUACAUGGUGUCUCCGCUUAUCAGCCCCAAGCCCCUCGCCCUGCCCGGGGCGCAUGUGGUGGUUACAGGAGGUUCCAGUGGCAUUGGGAAGUGCAUUGCUAUCGAAUGCUAUAAACAAGGAGCCUUUAUAACUCUGGUUGCACGAAAUGAGGAUAAGCUGCUGCAGGCAAAGAAAGAAAUUGAAAUGCACUCUAUUAAUGAUAAACAGGUGGUGCUUUGCAUAUCAGUUGAUGUAUCUCAAGACUAUAACCAAGUAGAGAAUGUCAUAAAACAAGUAAGAGGUUGUGCUAAUUGGAAUUCACCAAUGUGCUUGACUUUUGAUUUGUUCUUGCCAUUUUGCUGUGUGGCUUGGAAUGGACACAACUUCUCUAUAGGUUUAAUAGUUUUGUAAAUUUUAUUUAUCAGCAUGGAUUUGCUGCUGAGUGGUUUUUCUUCUCUGUUUCCUAAUGCCUACUC
rnacentral:sRNA from 1 species